GAUGAACGCUGGCGGCGUGCCUAAUAUAUGCAAGUCGAGCGAACGGACGAUAAGCUUUCUUCUCUGCUGUUAGCGGCGGACGGGUGAGUAAGACGUGGAUAACCUUCCUAUAUGACUUGGAUAACUUCGUGAAACCGGUUCUAAUACCGGCUCAUAUUUUCUACCGCAUGGUUCAAAAGUGCUAGACGGUUUUGCUGUCACUUAUAGCUGGUUCCGCGCUGCAUUAGCUAGUUGGUAAGGUAACGGCUUACCAAGGCAACGAUGCAUAGCCGAACUGAGAGGGUGAUCAGCCACACUGGAACUGAGACACGGUCCAGACUCCUACGGGAGGCAGCAGUAGGGAAUCUUCGGCAAUGGGCGAAAGCCUGACGGAGCAACGCCGCGUGAGUGAAGAAGGUCUUCGGAUCGUAAAACUCUGUUAUUAGGGAAGAACAUAUGUGGAAGAAACUGUGCACAUCUUGACGGUACCUAAUGAGAAAGCAACGGCUAACUACGUG
rnacentral:rRNA from 1 species